rnacentral:rRNA from 1 species
AUUGAACGCUGGCGGCGUGCCUAACACAUGCAAGUCGAGCGGUAACAGGUGUAGCAAUACAUGCUGACGAGCGGCGAACGGGUGAGUAAUGCUUCGGAAUCUACCCAAUGGUGGGGAAUAACCAGCCGAAAGGUUGGCUAAUACCGCAUACGUCCCACGGGAGAAAGCAGGGGAUCGCAAGACCUUGCGCCAAUGGAUGAGCCGAAGUCGGAUUAGCUAGUUGGAGGGUAACGGCCUACCAAGGCGACGAUCCGUAGCUGGUCUGAGAGGACGACCAGCCACACUGGGACCGAGACACGGCCCAGACUCCUACGGGAGGCAGCAGUGGGGAAUAUUGGACAAUGGGGGAAACCCUGAUCCAGCGACGCCGCGUGUGUGAAGAAGGCCUGCGGGUUGUAAAGCACUUUUAGU